rnacentral:rRNA from 1 species
GACGAACGCUGGCGGCGUGCCUAACACAUGCAAGUCGAGCGAGUAGAUUUCCUUCGGGAAUGAAGCUAGCGGCGGACGGGUGAGUAACACGUGGGCAACCUGCCUCAUAGAGGGGAAUAGCCUCCCGAAAGGGAGAUUAAUACCGCAUAAGAUUGUAGCUUCGCAUGAAGUAGCAAUUAAAGGGGCAAUCCGCUAUGAGAUGGGCCCGCGGCGCAUUAGCUAGUUGGUGAGGUAACGGCUCACCAAGGCGACGAUGCGGAGCCGACCUGAGAGGGUGAUCGGCCACAUUGGGACUGAGACACGGCCCAGACUCCUACGGGAGGCAGCAGUGGGGAAUAUUGCACAAUGGGGGAAACCCUGAUGCAGCGACGCCGCGUGAGUGAUGACGGCCUUCGGGUUGUAAGGCUCUGUCUUCAGGGACGAUAAUGACGGUACCUGAGGAGGAAGCCACGGCUAACUACGUGCCAGCCGCCGCCGUAACAC